UAUAUUUCAAAGCACUCAAUCAUAUUUGUCUCUGUUUCUAUUCAUUUUUAUGUAGUUCUAAAUUUUUUCAAGACUCUUGUAUGUCAUAAUUUUCCUGAGGUGAAUCUAAUUAUUGAGGACAUGUUUACUUAAAUAUUUCUCUAAAUUAAAAAAAGUAAACAAAUGAAUAAAUGAGAAACAGAAUCAGACGGACCUGUGUACGGCCUUUGAAUUUUGAAUGUGAUGAUCAUGAGAAGCUUCAUUUCUAGGUUCUUAAUCCUAAGAAUCAAUUGGGUUAAAACUUUGCCUAUGUUUUAACAGUGACAACCUGCUGAUUGUCCACUAUUAACGUUGACAUCAUGAAUGGAUUGUGAAGCCAAUGAAGAUGCGUAUCUUUCUAAUAAAGAAGAACAAGUAGAAAUGAAUGCUCUUCCAAGAAUACUGCUAAUAGCAGAGACUGCUACAAUAAAAUUCCCAUUUUCUAAGAUUAUGCUUUGUUUGAUAUAACUAUAAGAAUGGAAAUUCAUUGGAAAAUUGAUAUUUAUUUAU